rnacentral:misc_RNA from 1 species
GACGAAGAACGCAGCGAAAUGCGAUAAGUAAUGUGAAUUGCAGAAUUCAGUGAAUCAUCGAAUCUUUGAACGCACAUUGCGCCCUCUGGUAUUCCGGGGGGCAUGCCUGUUCGAGCGUCAUUAUAACCACUCAAGCUCUCGCUUGGUAUUGGGGUUCGCGGUUCCGCGGCCCCUAAAAUCAGUGGCGGUGCCUGUCGGCUCUACGCGUAGUAAUACUCCUCGCGAUUGAGUCCGGUAGGUCUACUUGCCAGCAACCCCCAAUUUUUACAGGUUGACCUCGGAUCAGGUAGGGAUACCCGCUGAACUUAAGCAUAUCAAUAAGCGGAGGA